GACGAACGCUGGCGGCGUGCCUAACACAUGCAAGUCGAGCGGAGAUUGCAGUAAUGUAAUCUUAGCGGCGGACGGGUGAGUAACGCGUGGGCAACCUACCUAUAACUGGGGGAUAACACAGGGAAACUUGUGCUAAUACCGCAUAACAUCAUGAAGUGACAUCACUUUAUGAUCAAAGGAGUAAUCCGGUAAUAGAUGGGCCCGCGUCCGAUUAGCUAGUUGGUGAGGUAAUGGCUCACCAAGGCAACGAUCGGUAGCCGAACUGAGAGGUUGAUCGGCCACAUUGGGACUGAGACACGGCCCAGACUCCUACGGGAGGCAG
rnacentral:rRNA from 1 species